rnacentral:rRNA from 1 species
GACGAACGCUGGCGGCGUGCCUAAUACAUGCAAGUAGAACGCUGAAGGAGGUGCUUGCUCUUCUGGAUGAGUUGCGAACGGGUGAGUAACGCGUAGGUAACCUGCCUGGUAGCGGGGGAUAACUAUUGGAAACGAUAGUUAAUACCGCAUAUCAGUAGAUGUUGCAUGAGAUUUACUUAAAAGGUGCAAUUUCAUCGCUACCAGAUGGACCUGCGUUGUAUUAGCUAGUUGGUGGGGUAACGGCUCACCCAGGCGACGAUACAUAGCCGACCUGAGAGGGGGAUCGGCCACACUGGGACUGGAACGCGGCCCAGACUCCUACGAGAGGCAGCAGUAGGGAAUCGUCGGCAAUGGACGGAAGUCUGACCGAGCAAGGCCGCGUGAGUGGAGAAGGUUCUCGGUGCGUAAAGCUCGGUUGUAAGAGAAGAACGGGUGUGAGAGGGGAAAGUGCACACUGUGACGGUACCUUAACAGAAAGGGACGGCUAACUACGUG